UUUUUCUUAUAGGCCCUGCAGGUGGCAAGGCAGCUCCUCCUUCAGCAGCAGCAACAGCAGCAGCAGCAACAGCAGCAACAGCAGCAGCAGCAACAGCAGCAACAGCAGCAGCAACAACAGCAGCAGCAGCAACAGCAGCAGCAGCAGCAG
ensembl:miRNA